AGGCCUCAGCCCUGAGGGCGUUGCUUAGCAACCACCCUUCUGGCGCCUUACUUCCGGUCGGGUGCCGGAAGUGAGGCGCCAUUUUGUAGCAAGCGUUUCCGGCGUGCUGAGAGGCGCGUACCUUCCGCCUCCUCGACUUCCGGUCGGGCUGCCGGAAGUGAAGCGCCUCCUUCCGGUGGGGAAGCGUGAGGGAGAAGGCGGCGAGAUGCCGACGGGGGAUUACGAGCCCGCUGCCCUCCCCGAAGGAGCUGAUCAAUGGGAACAUCAAAACCAUCACUGAGUACCGCGAGGAGGAGGACGGCCGGAAGGUGAAGGUGAGCAGGGGGGGGCUGGGGUCUUCCUCAACCCCCCCACUCCCUC
rnacentral:lncRNA from 1 species